rnacentral:rRNA from 1 species
CCUACGGGGGGCAGCAGUGGGGGAUAUUGGUCAAUGGGGGAAACCCUGAUCCAGCGACGCCGCGUGAGUGAAGAAGUAUUUCGGUAUGUAAAGCUCUAUCAGCAGGGAAGAAAGAAAUGACGGUACCUGAGUAAGACGCCCCGGCUAACUACGUGCCAGCAGCCGCGGUAAUCCGGGGGGGGCAAGCGUUAUCCGGAAUUACUGGGUGUAAAGGGAGCGUAGACGGGAAUGCAAGUCUGGAGUGAAAGGCGGGGGCCCACCCGCCGCACUGCUCUGGAAACUGGGGAACUGGAGUGCGGGAGAGGCAGGCGGAAUUCCUGGUGUAGCGGUGAAAUGCGUAGAUAUUAGGAGGAACACCAGUUGCGAAGGCAGCCUGCCGGACUGUAACUGACGUUGAGGCUCGAAAGCGUGGGGAGCGAACAGGAUUAGAUACCCCAGUAGUC